UACGGAGGGAGCUAGCGUUGUUCGGAAUUACUGGGCGUAAAGCGCGCGUAGGCGGCUUUGUAAGUUAGAGGUGAAAGCCCGGGGCUCAACUCCGGAACUGCCUUUAAGACUGCAUCGCUUGAAUCCGGGAGAGGUGAGUGGAAUUCCGAGUGUAGAGGUGAAAUUCGUAGAUAUUCGGAAGAACACCAGUGGCGAAGGCGGCUCACUGGACCGGUAUUGACGCUGAGGUGCGAAAGCGUGGGGAGCAAACAGGAUUGAGAAAC
rnacentral:rRNA from 1 species